rnacentral:tRNA from 1 species
GGAGAGGUGCGAGAGCGGUUGAAUCGGACGGUCUCGAAAAUCGUUGUACCCUAACGGGUACCGUGGGUUCGAAUCCCACCCUCUCCGCCA